rnacentral:rRNA from 1 species
AGAGUUUGAUCAUGGCUCAGAUUGAACGCUGGCGGCAGGCCUAACACAUGCAAGUCGAACGGUAACAGGAAGCAGCUUGCUGCUUCGCUGACGAGUGGCGGACGGGUGAGUAAUGUCUGGGAAGCUGCCUGAUGGAGGGGGAUAACUACUGGAAACGGUAGCUAAUACCGCAUAAUGUCGCAAGACCAAAGAGGGGGACCUUCGGGCCUCUUGCCAUCGGAUGUGCCCAGAUGGGAUUAGCUUGUUGGUGGGGUAACGGCUCACCAAGGCGACGAUCCCUAGCUGGUCUGAGAGGAUGACCAGCCACACUGGAACUGAGACACGGUCCAGACUCCUACGGGAGGCAGCAGUGGGGAAUAUUGCACAAUGGGCGCAAGCCUGAUGCGGCCAUGCCGCGUGUAUGAAGAAGGCCUUCGGGUUGUAAAGUACUUUCAGCGGGGAGGAAGGGAGUAAAGUUAAUACCUUUGCUCAUUGACGUUACCCGCAGAAGAAGCACCGGCUAACUCCGUGCCAGCAGCCGCGGUAAUACGGAGGGUGCAAGCGUUAAUCGGAAUUACUGGGCGUAAAGCGCACGCAGGCGGUUUGUUAAGUCAGAUGUGAAAUCCCCGGGCUCAACCUGGGAACUGCAUCUGAUACUGGCAAGCUUGAGUCUCGUAGAGGGGGGUAGAAUUCCAGGUGUAGCGGUGAAAUGCGUAGAGAUCUGGAGGAAUACCGGUGGCGAAGGCGGCCCCCUGGACGAAGACUGACGCUCAGGUGCGAAAGCGUGGGGAGCAAACAGGAUUAGAUACCCUGGUAGUCCACGCCGUAAACGAUGUCGACUUGGAGGUUGUGCCCUUGAGGCGUGGCUUCCGGAGCUAACGCGUUAAGUCGACCGCCUGGGGAGUACGGCCGCAAGGUUAAAACUCAAAUGAAUUGACGGGGGCCCGCACAAGCGGUGGAGCAUGUGGUUUAAUUCGAUGCAACGCGAAGAACCUUACCUGGUCUUGACAUCCACGGAAGUUUUCAGAGAUGAGAAUGUGCCUUCGGGAACCGUGAGACAGGUGCUGCAUGGCUGUCGUCAGCUCGUGUUGUGAAAUGUUGGGUUAAGUCCCGCAACGAGCGCAACCCUUAUCCUUUGUUGCCAGCGGUCCGGCCGGGAACUCAAAGGAGACUGCCAGUGAUAAACUGGAGGAAGGUGGGGAUGACGUCAAGUCAUCAUGGCCCUUACGACCAGGGCUACACACGUGCUACAAUGGCGCAUACAAAGAGAAGCGACCUCGCGAGAGCAAGCGGACCUCAUAAAGUGCGUCGUAGUCCGGAUUGGAGUCUGCAACUCGACUCCAUGAAGUCGGAAUCGCUAGUAAUCGUGGAUCAGAAUGCCACGGUGAAUACGUUCCCGGGCCUUGUACACACCGCCCGUCACACCAUGGGAGUGGGUUGCAAAAGAAGUAGGUAGCUUAACCUUCGGGAGGGCGCUUACCACUUUGUGAUUCAUGACUGGGGUGAAGUCGUAACAAGGUAACCGUAGGGGAACCUGCGGUUG